rnacentral:rRNA from 1 species
UUAUGGCUCAGGAUGAACGCUGGCGGCGUGCCUAACACAUGCAAGUCGAACGGAGCUAUUUUUGGAGACUCGGUCAAAGAAGUUUAAGCUAGUGGCGGACGGGUGAGUAACGCGUGGAGAACCUGCCCUGUACUGGGGGAUAACAGUUGGAAACAGCUGCUAAUACCGCAUAAGCGCACGGAGCCGCAUGGCUCAGUGUGAAAAACUCCGGUGGUACAGGAUGGCUCCGCGUUGGAUUAGCCAGUUGGCGGGGUAACGGCCCACCAAAGCGACGAUCCAUAGCCGGCCUGAGAGGGUGAACGGCCACAUUGGGAUUGAGACACGGCCCAGACUCCUACGGGAGGCAGCAGUGGGGAAUAUUGCACAAUGGGGGAAACCCUGAUGCAAGCGACGCCGCGUGAAGGAAGAAGUAUCUCGGUAUGUAAACUUCUAUCAGCAGGGAAGAUGAUGACGGUACCUGACUAAGAAGCCCCGGCUAACUACGUGCCAGCCGCUGC